UUUCAUGCAGGCUCCUCAGCCGUUUCAUCAACUUCAAAUGUUGACACCACAGCAUCAGCAACAACUUAUGCUUGCUCAACAAAAUUUGGCAUCACCAUCUGCCAGUGAUGAAAGCAGAAGACUAAGAAUGCUAUUGAAUAAUAGGGGUAUUGGCCUAAACAAGGAUGGUCUUUUCCCAACGUUUUCCUCCACUUAAAAGGUUGCCACUGAAGCAUCAGCAACAACUUAUGCUUGCUCAACAAAAUUUGGCAUCACCAUCUGCCAGUGAUGAAAGCAGAAGACUAAGAAUGCUAUUGAAUAAUAGGGGUAUUGGCCUAAACAAGGAUGGUCUUUCUAAUCCUGUUGGUGAUGUGUCGUCGAAUGUUGGAUCACCU
rnacentral:lncRNA from 1 species